CUUUCGUUUUCGUUCUUUCCAUUUUUUGAAAGUUUUUGAAUAGGUUUUAUGAAUUUAGGCUAACUAUUGAUGGGGUUGCAAAAGUGUCGAAGACAGAAGGAAGGGGGCAAACCACGAAUGUAGUUAUUGGAGGGACUGUGCAUGAUGAUUCGACUAACGAGUGGCUUGUUUUGGAUAAAAAGGUUAAUUCCUACCCAUCUGAAAGGGUGUUUACAGCUAUUGGUAUUGGAGGUGAUGAUAUUGUGCAGGCUAUGGUAGUUGCUGUAGAAUCGGUUAUUCAACAAUCUAUCCCCGAGGUUUGAUGAUGCGAUUCGGUUGUGGUUUUCAGGUUCAAGCUGUAUACAACGCGAUGAGGCGAGAUGACCGAAUGAAAUACUUUCUGUAACCUGUAAAGAACAAAGCUCAACUACAUAGUACAUCAGCCUAACAUGUUAUCUACUUUCAAUUGUUCUGUUCCAAUGAAGUAGCUUCAGCUUUGUUUUCUAGUUACCUCGUAUAUAUGUAUGUAUUCUUCUCCAUGAAGACAUUCAUGUUAAAAUCUUGAUGACAGCUAAUAUCGAAUGAAAUGCUAAAAUUUAGGAUGCUUCUUCACUUC